AAAGUCGUAACAAGGUCUCCGUAGGUGAACCUGCGGAGGGAUCAUUAACAAAUCAAACACAUAUCCUGUGUAACUGUCUGUUCCUGGUGUGGUAGGGGUGCAGAGUGGGGAGUUCUGCCUGCGCAUGUGGGUGUGUGUAUAUCACACGCACAUGCACCCGCCAGGACCAUCAUACAUACCAUUGUCAGAUCGUAUUAUUACAUUAUGUAAUGACACAACAACUUUUAACAAUGGAUCUCUUGGCUCUU
rnacentral:misc_RNA from 1 species